CUGGGUCAAAUGGUAUUUCUGGUUCUAGAUCCUUAACUCACUUUUAACAGAGCUAUGGGGGCUUUCAGCUCAGCAGUGGCUCUUCUUAGCAGGGGACUGAAUGUGUUCCCUUUGCCAAAGCCUACUUUGCUUUGCUUAUGUGAUGCUACUUACAGGAUUUCCAGAUUGUUUUUGGUCUCUUCAACCAUUUGCUUUCUUUGGACAGGACAAUGCCCAGUGAUGAAGAUGAAGCUCUUGUUCUUGACAUCUAAUCCCACACCAUGACUAAUAAACAUGGCAUGCUGCAAUGGGCAUUAAUUUAUGGGUAACAGAAGCAGAUCCAAGCCUUUUAGCUAAUUAAAUAAAAAUGCACCAUACAGCAACCAUCCUGCCUGCUUGGGUGUAAAAUAGAGAGGAGAAAGAUGGCAUGCUGGUCAUUGAGAGAUAAUUACCUGCAAUUUCAGAGCUGGAAUCUAGUGACAACAUAAGAAAAAUAAUAACCUCUCUGGCUGUUAGGAUUCUCAGUUCUAGCUGCGAGCAAGGAGCAAAGGCACCCACAGACUUGCCAAACCUAUGUCAGGAAUGACGAAUAGAAGGCAGAAAUCCACAUCCCCAGGUGGUAAAAUUGUUAUCCACCUUCGUCACCUCUUUCCUAAUGGAGGAAGUGAGGACAGGCAGCCUUGGAGUCCUACUUGAAUGAGGCCUGGACCUUAUGCAGGGUAAUAAAAACCAACACGUGGGGCCUGUGCUGUAAGGUGGCAGAGGGCGAUGACUCACCCCACUCAUGCAGGUUGAGUCAUUUCAAGGCAGAGUUGUGCCAGUUCAGUACCCAGUAAUAUUUUCCAGUCGACGAGUAUCAGUGAACAGGAGAUAACCAGUCAUUUCUAGAUUCUGCUCAGAGUCCCAGCUUAGAGGCUCCACCAGCUCAAAGAGACGGGAUGGCAAAACAGCCACCUUAAUUUCCAGAUCAUCUGCCAGCUCAUCUGCCAGCUGACACACAGCCCAUGGCUCCACUAUUGCCAGUGCUGUAGCUGCACCAGACCAAUCUGGUUCAACUUUUAUGUAACAAAGUUGUGAUUUGUUUUUCAGUUGCCCGGGACUCCCAGGUUGAAGAUCAUGAGCAUGCCCUGAUGAGCCAAGGCAUGCAACCACAGGGGAACCUAAGUGCUUGGACUGAGGAGUGGGGACUGAAAUAAGAAGCGGACACUGCAGGGCAGGAUCAGGAUCCAAUCAGAUCGAGCCCUGGCAUCACCUCAUGGCAGGAUCUAGUCAGAUCGUGGCUUUUGACAUCACUUCAUUGUGAAAUCCAAUCAGAUCACACCUUAUUACCCUAUCCUUAUAAAACCGGACCUAGCCCCCAGCUCGAGGAGGCACUGCUUUGGGAGUUAUCCCAGGUGUUCUUGUUACUAGUUGCAAGGAAUAAAAUCCUCUUGCUAAAUCCUCCUUGGUUGUGCAGAUGUUGGCAUGGAUGUGGAGAGAAGGGAACACUUACGCUUUGUUGGUGAGGAUGUAAAUUAGCUCAACUCUGUGAUAAACAGUAUGGAGAGUUUUCAAAGAACUAAAAAUAGAACUUCUACUCAACCCAGCAAUCCUAUGAGUGCAUGAGUGGGUAUCUACCCAAAGGAAAAG
rnacentral:lncRNA from 10 species